rnacentral:rRNA from 1 species
GUGGGGAAUAUUGGACAAUGGGCGAAAGCCUGAUCCAGCCAUGCCGCGUGAGUGAUGAAGGCCUUAGGGUUGUAAAGCUCUUUCAGUAGGGAAGAUAAUGACGGUACCUACAGAAGAAGCCCCGGCUAACUUCGUGCCAGCAGCCGCGGUAAUACGAAGGGGGCUAGCGUUGUUCGGAUUUACUGGGCGUAAAGCGCACGUAGGCGGAUUGGUCAGUUAGAGGUGAAAUCCUGGAGCUCAACUCCAGAACUGCCUUUAAUACUGCCAGUCUAGAGUCCAGAAGAGGUGAGUGGAACUCCUAGUGUAGAGGUGGAAUUCGUAGAUAGUAGGAAGAACACCAGUGGCGAAGGCGGCUCACUGGUCUGGUACUGACGCUGAGGUGCAAAAGCGUGGGGAGCAAACAGGAUUAGAUACCCGGGUAGUCC